CCUGGGGGGAGAGCGUGGCCCAGGCAUGCCUGGGGGGUGCUGCGGGUUCCUCUGUCGGCCCGCCUGAGGCCCUGCUGGAGGCAUGCGGCCGGGCGGUGGCACGGAGUAAGCUGGAGCGUAGAAUGCGUGACAUGCGCAACAUGCAUCUGGAGAUGCGGCGGCAUCUGGAUGCGGCGGAGCACACGCUGACCUUUGACCCACAGCAGCAGGAGAGCCUGCGCGAGGAGGAACAGCGGGUGGAGAAUCACCUCCAGCCGCAGAGGAAGCAAACGUGGUUCAAACGCCUCGGCAACGCCCUCAAACGCCUGGGAAAGAGGACGAGGAAGAGGAAAGAGGAGUGUGAAGGGGGAGAGGGUGGCCCUGGGUGUGACGAGCUGUGCCCAAUCGCACAGGACGUGAGCAUCUCGCAGGCCACUAUGGGGAAGAUGCGCGAGGCAGAAGCCUGUGUCAAAAAAUGGCGGACGGCCGCACGUGACCAGCAGCGAAUGGACCUGCUCCAGGAGCAUCUGGAGGACAAGGAGAGAAGCAUCCAGAAGCUGAAGGUGCAGCUGCAGAAUGUCGAGAGUGCACUGGACAGGCAACAGAUCGGGACGGCGAAUCUUCCCUCCACCUCCAACAAAAAUCUCCAGAGGCCUCUACUGCCCUCUGCCAACUGGGUCUUCAACCCCCGCAACAAUGACACUGCUUGUGGAGGGGCAGAGGCCCUGAAGGAGGAGAAAAGGAGGAAAGAGGAGAUACUGAAGAGCAAGAAACCAAAGAAGAUGGGCCUGAAGAGAAGGUUGUUCCUGUGCCUACGCUGCCUCACGUGAAUGUCAUCAAAUAUCAUCAUCGGAAUAUCGGAACUAUCGGAAUAUUGUCAAAAACUAUUGGGAUAUCAGAACUAUGGGAAUAUCAAAACUAUCAGGAUAGGGGGGCACUGUGGCGCAAACAGUAGCCCUGACCGCAUUUGGGCUUAACGCCCAUGGAGGACACGGGUUUGAAUCCGGACCGAUGUCAUCUCUCCUGUCCAUUCCCUACUUCUUCUCCCUCUCAUUUCCUGUCCCUCUCUAUCAAUUAAAAGCAUAAAAAG
ensembl:lncRNA